AGGGGUGCCUGAGGAGAAAGGGGUGCUGGUUCUUCCUUAUAUCCCCUGCCUGCCUCAGCUGGGCUCUGACCCAGCCAGCAGACUGGAGUCCUCUUCUGCAUGGUAAGGAAACUGAGGCUUAGAGGAGUUAUGAAAUUGCCCAAGGUUUCACAGCUGAAAUGUAUAAGGACCUGGACUUGCAAAUUUGGCACAAAGUUCUUCUAAUAAGAGGCCAUAAAAUAACCAAAUGAUUUUUUAUGUGCCUAUAGAACCAAAAGAACUAUUUCAGAAUGUCAGCUGAAAAGCACGAUAUUCCAGAUAGUCUUAGCAAACGGCACACCAGAAGAUUAUAUCCCAAGCCUGGCUCAGAAGGUCCUAUGCCCAUGGAGCCUCAAUCAUUGCUAGCACAACAGUCUGAGAUCAAACUGCAAGGUGGCAGCAAGGCUGGGGGAGGGGCGCCCGCCAUUGCCGAGGCUUGACUUAGAAACCUUGGCAUAGUGCCUUCCUGGAAAUCCUGGAUUGCAUCUAAAACCAUGUGGCAGAGGGAGAAACAACAGACAGGACAUCCUGAGAAGACUCAGGCUGGGACGAAAGCUCUGCUCUCCAGGGACAAAGCAGCAGGGGACCAGCCAUGCUCAGAAAUACUCCACUGGCCAGUGCACAUUUUUUUGAGCAAUUUCACUUGCUUCCUCACCACCUGUCCCCCUA
rnacentral:lncRNA from 10 species